rnacentral:rRNA from 1 species
GGACUACCCGGGUUUCUAAUCCCGUUCGCUCCCCACGCUUUCGUGCCUGAGUGUCAGGAACAAGCCAGUAGACUGCUUACGCCAUCGGUGUUCCUCCCAAUAUCUACGGAUUUCACUCCUACACUGGGAAUUCCAUCUACCUCUCUUGUCCUCUAGCUGAGCAGUUCAAAUAAUGUAUAUACGGUUGAGCCGUACGCUUUCACUAUUUGCUUACUCUGCCACCUACGCAACUCUUUACGCCCAGUAAUUCCGGAUAACGCUUGGAUCCUCCGUAUUACCGCGGCUGCUGGCAC